AACCCAGUGUGACUCGUCACACUAUCAUUAACUGAAUCCAUAGGUUAAUGAGGCGAACCGGGGGAACUGAAACAUCUAAGUACCCCGAGGAAAAGAAAUCAACCGAGAUUCCCCCAGUAGCGGCGAGCGAACGGGGAGGAGCCCAGAGCCUGAAUCAGCAUGUGUGUUAGUGGAAGCGUCUGGAAAGGCGCGCGAUACAGGGUGACAGCCCCGUACACAAAAGCGCAUGUGCUGUGAGCUCGAUGAGUAGGGCGGGACACGUGGUAUCCUGUCUGAAUAUGGGGGGACCAUCCUCCAAGGCUAAAUACUCCUGACUGACCGAUAGUGAACCAGUACCGUGAGGGAAAGGCGAAAAGAACCCCGGCGAGGGGAGUGAAAAAGAACCUGAAACCGUGUACGUACAAGCAGUGGGAGCACCCUUUGGGUGUGACUGCGUACCUUUUGUAUAAUGGGUCAGCGACUUAUAUUCUGUAGCAAGGUUAACCGAAUAGGGGAGCCGGAGGGAAACCGAGUCUUAACCGGGCGUUAAGUUGCAGGGUAUAGACCCGAAACCCGGUGAUCUAGCCAUGGGCAGGUUGAAGGUUGGGUAACACUAACUGGAGGACCGAACCGACUAAUGUUGAAAAAUUAGCGGAUGACCUGUGGCUGGGGGUGAAAGGCCAAUCAAACCGGGAGAUAGCUGGUUCUCCCCGAAAGCUAUUUAGGUAGCGCCUCGUGAAUUCAUCUCCGGGGGUAGAGCACUGUUUCGGCUAGGGGGCCAUCCCGGCUUACCAACCCGAUGCAAACUGCGAAUACCGGAGAAUGUUAUCACGGGAGACACACGGCGGGUGCUAACGUCCGUCGUGAAGAGGGAAACAACCCAGACCGCCAGCUAAGGUCCCAAAGUCAUGGUUAAGUGGGAAACGAUGUGGGAAGGCCCAGACAGCCAGGAUGUUGGCUUAGAAGCAGCCAUCAUUUAAAGAAAGCGUAAUAGCUCACUGGUCGAGUCGGCCUGCGCGGAAGAUGUAACGGGGCUAAACCAUGCACCGAAGCUGCGGCAGCGACACUGUGUGUUGUUGGGUAGGGGAGCGUUCUGUAAGCCUGUGAAGGUGUGUCGUGAGGC
rnacentral:rRNA from 2 species